rnacentral:rRNA from 1 species
AUGGGGCCUGAGAUGCCUUCUGACUUAAGGUCCAGCUCAAUCACACGACAAGGGGACACCGUGCUGCAAGUGAUCCCAUGCCAGUCGCAAACGUCCAAGGACGUGUUCCUCCAUGAAGCUAAAACUCCUGCUGGACCCGAGAUCCUGGACUUGAAGCAGAGGAGAGCUUGCCUAUCAUUUUCAGUUUCAUUGCAGGUGGAUAGUGGCAGGCUGCAAAGGAAGCAGAAGAGGUAUAGAAACCAAACAAAGCCUGGAAGCAAGACACCCGAAGAUGCCAUUUUUGUUGUUCACAGGCUACAGCUAUGGAGUAUGGUGAUGAAAGCUUUCAUUUGCAGACGGAUGUUUAAGUACUCAGCUGUUGAGUGUGUCAGUAGCCAACCGCUCAAAAUAGCACACAUAUUCGCGGCUCAGUGGUCAAUAUGA